UAUUGCUGGCAUAAUUGCUUGUGUGGACACCGCUGUGUCAGCAAGAGAGCUCCUCCUGCUGACAUAGCUAACGCCGCUCGUUGGGGGUGCUUUAAUUAUGACGGCAGGAGAGCUGUCUCCCGCCAGCAAAGAGCGGCUACAUGGAAGACCUUACAGCGGCAUACCUGUAGUGGCAUAGCUGUACUGCUGUAAGGUCCAUAGUGUAGACAUAGC